GCUUACGGCCAUAUCACGUUGAAAGCACCGGUUCUCGUCCGAUCACCGAAGUUAAGCAACAUCGAGCCUAGUUAGUACUUAGAUGGGUGACCGCUUGGGAGACCUAGGUGCUGUAAGCA
rnacentral:rRNA from 1 species